rfam:Aedes aegypti strain Liverpool supercont1.554 genomic scaffold, whole genome shotgun sequence.
ACAACGGCCCUUAUAAGGGCCCUAUAUUAUGCUACAAAAGAGUUAA